GCAGCAUCGCUGACUCAGAGGCAGGAAGUGCUAUUCUAGCUACCUGUUCCUACUCACUCUGUAUUUACAGACCUCAAGUAAAAUCACAACCUGCUCCGCACCCACUUCACCCCACCCUCAUAGCCAAAGCCAGCUACAGAUUGGCACGGAGUUGAACUUGUUGUCACGCUCCCUCCUCAUGGUUUACAUUUGCUCCGAGAUGUUCUGGGUAUUUCCUAUCUCAGUUUCUGCUUUCCACUGUGGGUUGCCUCCCCAUGGAACAAGUUAUUAUUACUCCAGUCUCUACCAACAACGCAAACAAAGCAGGUACAAGCUGACGCAACUCUGGAAAGUGCUGUACCAAACACUGAUGCAACCCCCCGGAGAGAUGCGAUUACUCCCCCGGAGUGCGUGGGAUGAGGAUGCCCUGCUUGCUCUCAUCUUGACUCCUGCUUUCGCCUUUGCCUGCCAGCACAAAACCUGGCACAGCUCUGUAACUCACGCCUUCCAGUCUGCGGCUUGGAAGAGCUCUGGUUGUGCCCCGUCACCAAAUGUUCCCAGGGAUGUUUUGUUUGGCUCCAGCAAGAAGCAAAUCUGACCCAAAGCUAGACCUGGAGCUGAAGACCCUACUUUGCCAUAAAACCAGCUUUUCAAGUUUGGAUUCAGAUCCUCAGCCUACAGGCAGACUUGUCCCAGCUGCACUGUCAUCCUGGCACCUGGUGCAACACAUUGCUACUCUUGCAGAAUAGCCAAAACAGUCAGGCAGGAGGAAAAAGGCGAAGGUGGAUCUCAGAAUUUGAAGGCUUGGAUUCAUUUAAGAGACAUAAAUUAAAUAUUGCAGCCAUAAGCAAAGCACAAGCAAAAAGAGAGUGCAUCUGGACCUCUGUGAAUCCCAUGUAAAACGCAACCCUUAACACAACUUGGCAAUACCUCUGCAGCUGAAUUAAGGUAUUUUUCUGGUUUUCCCACAGCAGGGAAUGCAGGAGGUUCUGAACUCAGCCAGCAAGAUUCUCUGGUCAUUUUAUGCACGCACCCUUACUUUACUACCUUGUGGACCCCUGAAAAAGCCUCUCUCCCAUGUUUGAGCAGAAAGGAAACCAAGUACAAGUUUCUGAAAACAAACAGGCCCUUUAAAUUAAGGUCUACAAAAUUAUUAGCCUUGUAUGAAAGCCAAUAUCUUGCAUAGUUACACCUAUGUGUAACUAUGUAAUAUAUUGGCUAGUCACCCAAUCUGUGUCUGGGAAGGAUUAACCCUGACCACAGCCCAGCCCAGCCAGGACAAGGACAGCCAAUCUAGCUUUUGGGGAGCUCUGCUGGAAAAGCAACUUUGAGCAUCACUGAACUGCAAGCCAUGCCAGGAGGUGAAACCUUUUUGGCACACAAACUGUGGGAGACCUUUGGUGUCUGGGCAGGAGUAUAAAGACCUUUACUGGUCCUGUUCCCACAGCAGGGGUCACACCACAGGUGAAUCUCAUCACCAGUCCAACCUAAACUCCACUCAUGGCAGCAAUCACAAAUGUGUUUUGAGACUCAAACAGAAAGUAAAAGAACAAAGCAUUGCUUAUAAAUUAUCUGAUGCAGCAGUUCCAGCCUGCCAGCUGUAAGGUAAGGAAGUAUUACCCUGCCCAUCGGUUAAGCCCAGGAAGGGGAUGCUCCUUUUAAAACUCAUCACCCUAGAACAUCUCCUCCUCCACCAUCAACUGUUCUCCCAGGAUUGGUUUAGAAAAACCAAGUCUACCACUCCCCUUCCAGCUUGCCCAUCUCUAUAUUUUGGUCGGUGUGGGAAAACAAGGCUGUCAGACCUGCACCUCCUCUCCUUCCCUCCCUUCUGGAUAGAGUGCAGGUUUGGUUUUCAAGUCUGCUUCUCUUGGACUAACGUGCUCUGCCAAGUUGCUGUCAGGGACAAAAUCAAGAGUACUGAAAUGGCAGGAAAAAGCUGAUCCCACACGAUACAUGGGGGAAAGGCAACACACAUCAAGGCCUCUGGAAAACAGACUCCUUUCUGGCUUUCCAGCUAUGUGCACAUUUAUGAGGUUUGAAUAAAAUUCAGCUGAAGCAUGCAGGCCAAUGACUGCUUGCCCAAAAUGAACUCAAUUGCUGGACUUUUGUCCAGCAAC